rnacentral:rRNA from 1 species
GGUUUGUAAGUUAGAGGUGAAAUCCUGCAGCUUAACUGUAGAACUGCCUCUAAUACUGCAAAUCUUGAGUUCAGAAGAGAGUAGCGGAAUUCCAGGUGUAGUGGUGAAAUACGUAGAUAUCUGGAAGAACACCAGUGGCGAAGGCGGCUACUUGGUCUGCAACUGACGCUGAGGCGCGAAAGCGUGGGGAUCAAACAGGAUUAGAUACCCUGGUAGUCCACGCUGUAAACGAUGAAUACUAGGUGUUGGAUACAUUAGUAUCCAGUGCCGCAGUUAACGCAUUAAGUAUUCCACCUGGGGAGUACGAUCGCAAGGUUGAAACUCAAAGGAAUUGACGGGGGCCCGCACAAGCAGUGGAGCAUGUGGUUUAAUUCGAUGCAACGCGAAGAACCUUACCUAGGCUUGAAAAGCAAGUGACCGUCUGUGAAAGCAGAUUUCCCGCAAGGGCACUUGUACAGGUGCUGCAUGGCUGUCGUCAGCUCGUGCCGUGAGGUGUUGGGUUAAGUCUCGCAACGAGCGCAACCCCUACCAUUAGUUGCCAUCAGGUUAUGCUGGGCACUCUAAUGGGACUGCCUACGCAAGUAGUGAGGAAGGUGGGGAUGACGUCAAGUCAGCAUGGCCCUUACGUCUAGGGCCACACACGUGCUACAAUGGGUGUUACAACGGGUUGCUAAGCCGCGAGGUUAUGCUAAUCCCUUAAAGGCACCCUCAGUUCGGAUUGCAGUCUGAAACUCGACUGCAUGAAGCUGGAAUU